rnacentral:rRNA from 1 species
GAUGAACGCUGGCGACAGGCCUAAUACAUGCAAGUCGAGCGAACAGACGAUGAGCUUGCUGCUCUCACUAUACCGGCGGACGGGCGAGUAACACGAAGACAACCUGCAUAUAACACUUGGAUAACUACGGGAAACCGGAGCUAAUACCAGUUAAUAUAUUUAACCGCAUGGUUCAUGAGGGUAUGACGGUUUUGCUGUCACUAUUAGAUGGCGCCGCGUCGCAUUAGCUUGUUGGGAAGGUAACGGCAUACCAAGGCAACGAUGCGUAGCCGACCUGAGAGGAGGGUAGGCCCCACUGGAACUGAACCACGGCCCAGACCACUACGGGAGGCAGGAGUGGAGAGUGUACCACAGUGGGCGGAAGCCUGACGGGACCACGCCACGUGGGUGAUAAAGAUCUUCGGAUCGGAAUACUCUGUUAUUAGGAAAGAACAAAUGUGUAAGUAACUUUGCACGUCUUGAAGGUACCUACAGAGAAAGCCACGGCUAACUACGUG